UGGGGCCAAGGGGUGGGACCCUCCUUACCGAACGAUAUUUGAAUUUGCAGUGUCCACACAGAUUGUCUGAUGAAAAAGUAACGAGCAGAGAAACCUUUAUAGGCUUGGAGCUCAGGUGGUUAGAGCGCACCCCUGAUAAGGGUGAGGUCGGUGGUUCAAGUCCACUCAGGCCUACCAAAUUCUUCCUCAUACUGCGUUAUGCUCGCGGUCGUUUACCGAAGUAAACUUCCCGUUCGCAUGCCUUGUCUGAGAAAGAAUUGACUCGGUAUGAAUAAAGGUCUCUGCAAGACUGUAUGGGGCUAUAGCUCAGCUGGGAGAGCGCCUGCCUUGCACGCAGGAGGUCAGCGGUUCGAUCCCGCUUAGCUCCACCAUAUCGGUCCUGUAUUUAUAAUACUUCAGAGUAUAUUGGCGACAGUAUGCUGCGAAGUAUUUUGCUCUUUAACAAUCUGGAACAAGCUGAAAAUUGAAAUGAUGAAUAAUCGGAAGAUUAUUCACGAGUCUCUCAAAAGCGCACAGCCGAUGAUGGAAACAUCUUCGGGUUGUGAGGUUAAGUGACUAAGCGUACACGGUGGAUGCCUUGGCA
rnacentral:misc_RNA from 1 species